rnacentral:rRNA from 1 species
GAUGAACGCUGGCGGCGUGCCUAAUACAUGCAAGUCGAGCGAACGGACGAGAAGCUUGCUUCUCUGAUGUUAGCGGCGGACGGGUGAGUAACACGUGGAUAACCUACCUAUAAGACUGGGAUAACUUCGGGAAACCGGAGCUAAUACCGGAUAAUAUUUUGAACCGCAUGGUUCAAAAGUGAAAGACGGUCUUGCUGUCACUUAUAGAUGGAUCCGCGCUGCAUUAGCUAGUUGGUAAGGUAACGGCUUACCAAGGCAACGAUGCAUAGCCGACCUGAGAGGGUGAUCGGCCACACUGGAGCUGAGACACGGUCCCGACUCCUACGGGAGGCAGCAGUCGGAAUUCUUCCGCAGUGGGCGAAAGCCUGACGGAGCAACGCCGCGUGAGUGAUGAAGGUCUUCGGCUCGUAAAACUCUGUUAUUAGGGAAGAACAUAUGUGUAAGUAACUGUGCACAUCUUGACGGUACCUAAUCAGAAAGCCACGGCUAACUACGU